rnacentral:rRNA from 1 species
AAACUAACCAGGAUUCCCCUAGUAACGGCGAGUGAAGCGGGAUGAGCUCAAGCUUAAAAUCUCUGUGCCAGUUUGGCAUGGCGAAUUGUAGUCUAUAGAGGCGUUGUCAGUGCGGCUGUGCGGGGUAAGUUCCUUGGAAGAGGACAGCAUCGAGGGUGAUACUCCCGUUUGUACCUGUGCGGCUUGCGCGUACGACACGUUUUCUUCGAGUCGCGUUGUUUGGGACUGCAGCGCAAAGUAGGUGGUAAAUUCCAUCUAAAGCUAAAUAUUGGUGCGAGACCGAUAGCGAACAAGUACCGUGAGGGAAAGAUGAAAAGAACUUUGAAAAGAGAGUUAAAGAGUACCUGAAACUGCUGAAAGGGAAGCGAAUCGUAUCCAGUGUCUAUAAUCUGCGGCAUAUUUCAUUGGCGGCGGUGUGCGUGCUUUUGCGUCGGAAGCGGCUUUUGUUGCUCUGUGCUUUUGCUGUGCGUGCUGUUGCUGGUGCCCUGUGUUGCGGUGGGACGUCAGAGUCAGUUUGUAUGCUGCGGGAAAUGGCUGCCGAGGAGGUAGGUCGAGAUUUCGGUCUUGGCUGUUAUAUCUUGGUGGUUUGUUGUCGUGGUUGAGACUGAGGUGCCUACAAUGUGCUUUUGAGUGCACCGGGUUCUCAUUUGGUGGACUGUUUGGAUAGCUUGCUAUGCUUGUGGUUUUUUCAUCGGGUGAUUGAGUCUGGUGGUAACUUAUUGCCGUUCGGGACUUUGACGAAAUGGAGCGAUUCGGC